GCACUCUGGACCCUGGGCCGGGUUGUCUCUGGGGGCCGUCCUGGGGGUUGUGGGGGGAUGAGCAGCAUCCCUGGGCCCACCCACUGAUACCAGGAGCACCCCCAUUGUGACGGCCACAGAUGUCCCCGACACCGCCCAGUGUCGCCUGGGGCAGGGAAGCAGAAUCGCCCAGGUGAGACCCCCUGGCCAGUCCAAGAAGGAGCCCGAGUGGGUCUCCAUUCAGAAGUCCAGGCGUUCCAGCCCCUCUGCCUUUACCAGCAAACGGCUUUGCCCCAUUCUCCUUUCAGAUGCCUGGGAGCUCUAUUCCGCACAGAACAGUUUGCAACAAGGAACAGGAUGCCCAGCUCAAACUACCUUCAUAAGGAGGAAAUUCUUUAUCGCUUAACAAAAAACGGAGAGAAGUCGUGCUCCCAGGGUCAUUUGUUUCAAGCAUUCAUCAACACCAUCCAUGCGACAAGUUCAUCCAGUCUGUCUUCCAUCUCGGUGACUUGGUGAGGUCACGCGGGGGGAGCCCACUAAAAAUGGGUCAUAUUACAGGGGACCUCUCCAACACUUUGGGCUGGAGACACAGGUGUUAUCAUCAGAUCCACGUUAUAACAGGGGAAGGGGGCACAGAGAGGCCUCACCGGGAGCGACUAGCAGAUUUCUGUGUGUCCUAGCGCGGCCCAGCAUCAGCACAGACAGCCUUCACGCCCAAGGUUUCCUUUGCCAUCUUCUGGUCCAGUAACGCGCUGUCCCAUACAGUGGGCGCUAUUGCAUCUUGAAAGAUUUAAAACAACACACGGCCUAUAUUCUAUUUUUUCUGGACUGGUGUAGGAGAGCAAGACACCUGUCAUCCAUCUUAGAAUGGCUUCCAUCCGGGGACCUUCUCUUAGCGUGAGCCUUGAAUGGCUACAUGUGCUCGAGCUAACUGUGCUUCCCGUGGCGAACAGACUUCCCUCCUCAUGUCUUGCUGAAACUGCCCCACAGUGGCCACUGGGGACAUCCCUGUCGCUGAAUCAUUCUCACGCACAGACCCCGCCACUGAGGGGCUGACAUUGCCCAGUUCCGGCCAACGCUGAGUCAGCAGAUGCCUCAUGGGUGGUGCUUCUGGGAAAGCGAUGGUUUUCCUGAUUUUUCUUUUUUUUUAAAAAAAGGAGAGACAAAUCUGGCACGUGCAUGUUGCCUGUGUCCUUCCAUCCUCCUCCUCCCUGGAAUGCGGCUGCAAUACCGGAAUGCAACCAUGAGGACAAACGCCACCAAGAGCUGGGGCGUUGGCACCACCAGCCCAUCUUGAGAUCUCUUGCUAUUUGACGGGAAAAAUGCUCUCAAUUCUUUUGGGUAUAUAUUCAGAAGUGGAAUUGCUAGGUCUUAUGGUAAUUCUAUGUUUAACUUUUGGGCGAACCUAUAAAUGAGUCUUUUCGCCUGAUCUUGAACUUCGUAGAAAUGUAAGCCUAUGGUACCUACUCUUUUUGGUCCGGCUUCUUUCGCCUAAUGUCGUCUGUGAGAUUCAUCCGUGUUGACAGCCCAGCGGAGAUGAGUUCCAUUACUGCUGUGUAGACUUCCGUUGUAUAAACAGAACAGUAUCUUUGGUAGAUGUGGCCAGAGUUUUGUAAAUUGGUGGCACUGAUUUACAUUCCUGCCAGGAGUGUAUAAUUAUUCCCUUAGCACAUAGUCUUGUCUAGUUUUAGACAUCCCGGUGGAUGUGUAGGAGUAUUCCAUUGUGGGGUUUUUUGGGGUUU